AUGAACGCUGGCGGCGUGCCUAAUACAUGCAAGUCGAGCGAACAGACGAGGAGCUUGCUCCUCUGACGUUAGCGGCGGACGGGUGAGUAACCCGUGGAUAACCUACCUAUAAGACUGGGAUAACUUCGGGAAACCGGAGCUAAUACCGGAUAAUAUAUUGAACCGCCUGGUUCUAUAGUGAAAGACGGUUUUGCUGUCACUUAUAGAUGGAUCCGCGCCGCAUUAGCUAGUUGGUAAGGUAACGGCUUAACCAGGCGACGAUGCGUAGACGACCUGAGAGGGUGAGGGGCCACACUGGAAGUGAGACACGGUACAGACUCCUACGGGAGGCAGCAGUAGGGAAUCUUCCGCAAUGGGCGAAAGCCUGACGGAGCAACGCCGCGUGAGUGAUGAAGGUCUUCGGAGCGUAAAACUCUGUUAUGAGGGAAGAACAAAUGUGUAAGUAACUAUGCACGUCUUGACGGUACCUAAUCAGAAAGCCACGGCUAACUACGUG
rnacentral:rRNA from 1 species